CAUAAGCAAGAGGAGGAGAAGAAGCUAGAGCUAGUAAUGAUGGCAAAAGUUGAAGCGCGACAAAGAUGAUGUAGAGGUGAUGCAGAGAGAGUAGUUGUGGUGGUAGCUAAAGUUGGAGAAGGAAGAAGAAGAAGUAGUAGUAGAAGAAUGAAAAGAGGAGGAAAGGAGAAAGAGGAGAGGAGAAUAUAAGCCAAAGGUGACCAUAGUGACAAUGGAUGUGCAACAAGAUUAAGAGGAAGAAGGGAAAAAGAAGAAAAAGAAAAAAAAAAACACAAUUGCAAGUUUUACCAACAAAUUUUAUCAACAACCAAAAUUCAUCGAUAGUUAAUGAUAAAUAUUUAUUGAAUAAUUUAAUAACAUAUAUGUGGUUGUAAAAAAUUACUGACAAAUAAUUUAUGGAUUAAAUUUAUUAUCGAAAGAUUUA
rnacentral:lncRNA from 1 species